ACAAAAUUCAGCAAAUGAAGCAGAGAGAGCAGAUCCUCCCAGAUUUCACAGCAGCUGUGGCUCCACUGCUGCAGGCAGGGUUCACAGGGAAGCUAAAACACCCUUCACUUCUCUCUGCUCCUCUUGGCUGAGCUCCCCACCUGAACAAAUCCUCAGCUCUGCUGGAUCCUCCUCCAUCCACCUUCCUCUGCUUCUUUCUCUGCAAGCUGACCCUCUUCUGCAAUUGCACUUGUGUUGAAACCAGGGCUCAGCUCAUCCAGCUGGUGUUGGUGGCUGCAGAAACAGCAGGAGGGAGCAAUUGCUGAACCACAGAAACUCCUCAGCCAGGUAAACACAGCCUUUCCUCCCACGUGAACCCAGCAGUGUAAUUGCACUGCUGAUGGGCCAAUGUCAGAUUUUCAUCUGUGUGACAAAUUCCUUGGGAUUCCUUUCAGGCACAAAGCUGGGUCCC
rnacentral:lncRNA from 12 species